GGACGGCCUGGGUCAGGUUCUGCUCCAGGGUGUCGAUGUGUUCUGAGGACAAACGAUGACAGACAGACAGACAGACCUCAGGACAGAUAAACAUGUCAACUCCAAACUACGCCACCUGCUGGACGAGGCAAUUUGUCUUCACUCGUUCAUCAAACUCGACUCGUCAGCGUCAUGUAACGGGUCAAAAAGGUCACAGAAGAAGGUCAAAGGUCAUGACGACCACUCGGGUCAGGGGUCAGACUCAUGAUGAUGUCACACAUGUGUGGGCGUGUCCUGCCGUUAAAUGAUGAGCAUUAAAGUCUUCUCAUUCAGUUGUGAUGGAGCGAGUGUUGAUGUCCUCUGUCCUCGUCCUCAUCUCUUUCUGCACUGGGUUUGGUGGGCAGAGCCAAGCUACAGCGCUGUCUCCGCCCACUGUCCAGGUUAAAGUCGGGGAUGACGUCACACUGCAGUGCCCCCUGCUGGUCAACGCCUCCUCCUCUGUCAGCUGGUACAGGAAGUGGUCAGGGCGUCGCCCUCAGCUCCUCCUCACUGUGGCCACGCCCACCAACGGCUCUGACGUUACACACAGCGCUAGAGUGUCGGUGGCAGCAGAUGGAUCUCUGCGGCUGCGUCGUGUCGACUUCAGUGACUCAGCAGUUUAUUACUGCGCUGUCAAUGAUGACUCAGUGAAAAUGAUGUCAAAGCUCAGAUCACCUGGUCGUCACUGAAGAUCAACUGUUGUUUUGUUACACUGUUUCAUCAAAUAAACAUCAUGUUUAUUUAUAAUCAUUA